ACAAGUGUUUGUAUCAGUUGAUUUUGUGCAAAUGAGGGAACCUGCCCAGGGUCUUGUCUGGACAUGCCCACAAUAGACUGGGGGCCUGCCUGUGCACUGGGAGAAUGCCCUGGAGCUACCAGAAAUACACGCCUUAUGCAGGUAGGAAGGAGCCUGACCUCUUCAGCUGGUGUGUGUGGUGGCCUGGUACUCAGUCUGUGAGCUGCUGGGAAGGUUGUCACCUGACCCUUGAAAGCUAUCAGUCCUCUUUGGAAGUUGCCCAUGAUUGAAGAAAUCUGCAUCUGCUGGGCCACUGCCAUUUCCUCAGGGAGUCUGCACACAACGGCCAAUCAACAUAAGAGUUCAAAUGUCCAGCUCCCUCUCCACAAUGAAGGUGGACCACGAAGACAUAUCCAGGCUUCAGAGCACCUUGUGGGGUUUGAGGGAGCUUUUGAUGAUUGAAGCUCAAUUUUUCCCCUCUGCCCAAUCAUUCUUUCUUCCCUUCCCUUACCCAGGAAUUGACCUCAAGAGCACUCCCUAAUAAACAUCCUGUACCCCAUCUCAGAAUCUGCUUCCUAGGAAACCCGAUCUGCAGUAGCUGAAGUUUCUUCUCCAAACAGGAGCAGAUGGUUGCUCCAAGGUGAUCAUUACUAUCUUAAUGGUUGAUCAGUACAACACAUUUCAAAGACACCUCAUGCACUUAUUGUCUGUGGUUGCCACCAGAAUUCAAUUACCUAGCUUAAGCUUUGACUAAGCUGAUAUUUGCUACCGUAUCAUUUUAAGCACUGCCUCCCUGAGCAAGCCAGCCAAUGGAGAGUAAGAACUACUCAUAUUCAGCUCAACAUACAUGAGAAGUGAUUAUAAUUUUGAACCCCUGGUAAAUCUAAAUGUCCUCCAAAUGAACUGGAUGCAGGAAGGUCGACAAUUAUAGAAAACUUUUGCUCCCAAACAGAGUUCCUCUCAGCUCUUUUCUUCAGCAAGUCUGUCAAAGGAAUUAAACUGCCUACAAGUUUGAAACCUUCAAGCAGGUACUGACAGGAACUAGUGAGUUAGAAACAUAGUUGCCAGGGGAACGCCAUCUGCUGCCAGGUUCCUCACUGCUAAUACUUACUCAGAAAGACCAAGGCAUCUGGUUUAUGAGCCAAGAUCUUGAUGGUUUUACAGUGCACAUUGCAUGUAAUUACAGAGCACCAGCAGGGUAACAAAAAUCUGUGUUUUUCAACUGUUAGGAAUUCAAAGAGUCUGAGAAAAAAAAAUUACUAAAAUUUCCAGGCUCUGCAUAAAUUUGGUGAACGGAUGCAUUCAAUUAGGUUACUAUAAAUUACUAAGCAAGUGAGUCCGCUCAAUACUACAGUGGUAGAAAAGAAACUGAAGACAGAGCAGGAAUGUUGCAUAUUAAGAUGAAGGCUAGUUGCUAUGACAAAAAGACCCCAAAAACUAUUACUUACAUAAUAUAGCAGAUAUUGUGCUCUCAUGUAACAGUCUGACAAGUAGGCUAGCAAAGUCAUCCUACACCUUUUUGGUCAUGCAGGGAUUUAGAAUCCUUCUAUAUUAUUUCUCUACUUUUCUGUGGAAUUGUAUUUUCAUUUAUAUGGUCAAAGAUAUAUAAUUCUAGUCCAUAGAAAAUAAUAAAAUGAGCUAGGAUCCAGGAGAAGUGGUUUAUUUAUAUUUAGAAAUGAGCUGGUACACAUAUCACUUUUCACAUUACAUAUAGACACCUAGCUGCAAGAGAGGCAGACACAUUUAAUUGGUAGCUAAGAGGCCACAUGGGCAAAAAGGACAAAUUGAUUUUGUGGGAAUAACUAGCAAGGCAAUCUGUAACAGAGAGAAACAGAGUAGAUGAAGGAAUUUCAGUAUAAUGUAAAAUAAUGAGGAUAAAAAGAGGGAAAGGAAGGUAACAGCAUGCAUUACCAUACAAGUCAACCUGUGGAAAACUGAAACUUAAUACUAUCCCAUUUAGGGAUGAGAGAAAUGUUUCUUGGUGUUUGGAGUUUUUUGUUUGUGUUUGUUUGUUUGUUUGUUUUCUGAGAUGGAGUCUCACUCUGUUGCCCAGGCUGUAGUGGAAUGGUGCAAUCUUGGCUCACUGCAAACUCUGCCUCCUGGGUUCAAGCGAUACUCCUGCCUAAGCCUCCCAAGUAGCUUGUAUUACAUACAUGCACCACGAUGCCUGCCUAAUAUUGUAUUUUUAGUAGAGACAGGGUUUCACCAUGUUGGCCAGGCGGGUCUCGAACUUCUGACCUCAGGUGAUCUUCCUGCCUCAGCCUCUCAAAGUGUUGGGAUUACAGUGUGAGCCUCCAUGCCUGGCCACACAUGAGGUUUUCUUCCAUGAGUUUCUGCCAGUUAUUGCUCAAGGUUUGCACCCAUGAGUCAUUGAUACCCACAGUACUUUCUGUCUGCCAUGCACAGGCAUAGCAAGAUCCAAUGGCCAGAUAAAGCUCUCAGAAAAAGGUUGCAAAUGCUGAUAGCUGGAAGUUAGGCAGCAUGCCAAGAAGUGGCAAAACCAUGAACAUAUGGAUGGGAGGAUGGAAAACAUCUGAUAUAGUAAGGGUUAUUAAUAAUUCUUCCAAAAUGAGCAACACUGAGCUCAGUGCUCAUUUUUUUGUCACAACUUUAUUGAACUAUUAUUUGUACACCAUAAAGUUACCCAUUAUGCAUGAAAAAUUUAAUGAUAUUUAGAUAAAUUUAAGGGUGGUACAAUCACAAUCCACUUUUGAAUAUUUUAAUCACCCCAAAGAUAUUCAUUGUACCCAUUCUGAGUUAAUCCCGGUUCUCUUUCCAAGACUCAGGGAACUAUGAAUCUAUUUUUUUUAUUUACAGAUUUGCCUGUUCUACACCGUUUAUGUAAGUGGAAUCAUACAAAAUAUGGCCUGUUGCAACUAGCUUCUUCUGCUUAGCAUAAUGUUAUAGUGGUUUGUUCAUUUUAUGGCACAUAAUAGGACUGCAAAUUCAUUUUUACUGGUAAAUAGCAUCUUAUUGUAUGAUUAUAUAACAUUUUGUUUACCCUUUCACCAAUUGAUGGAUAUUUGGUGAUAUGGUUGGGCUGUGUCCCUACCCAAAUCUCAUCUUGAAUUGUAGUUCUCAUAAUCCCCAGGUGUCAUGGAAGAAACCCCUUGGGAGGUAAUUUAAUCAUGGGGUGGUUACCCUCAUGCUUUUCUCAUGAUAGUGAGUGAGUUCUUGUGAGAUCUGAUGGUUUUAUAAGGGGCUGUUCCUCCUUUUGCUUGGCACUUCUCCUUGCUGCCAUGUAAAGAAGGAUAUAUUUGCUUCUCCUUCUGCCAUGAUUGUAAGUUUCCUGAGGCCUCCUGAGCCAUGCUUAACUGUGAGUCAAUUAAACCCCUUUCCUUUAUAAAUUACCCAGUCUUGAGUAUGUCUCUAUUAGCAGCAUGAGAACUGACUAAUACAGUAAAUUGGUACCUUGUGGUGGGUUGCUGCUGUAAAGAUACCUUAAAAUGUGGAAGUGACUUUGGAACUGGAUAACAGGCAGAGGUUGGAACAGUUUGGAGGUCUCAGAAAAAGACAGGAAAAUGUGGGAAAGUUUGGAACUUCCUGGAGACUUGGAGGGCUCAGAAGACAGGAAGAUGUAGGAAAGUUUGAAACUUCCUAGAACUCUACAAAAUUGAAAUCUUCUGCACUUCAAAAGACACCAUUAAUAAAAUGAAAAAGACAAAACAAGAAAGCAAGCGAGAGACAAUAUUUCAAUACUAUAUACUUCUUAAAUGUGGAUUGUAAAAUGAGUUCUCUAAUUACUAACCUAUGAAAUCCACAACUUUGAUUCUUAAAAGUGAGCUAAUAUUCAGCCUUGGAGUAGAUUCUUGGUAUAAAAGAGCCCACAUUCAGAUUUACAUGGCUUCAUAUUCUUCCUCUAUUGCUUUCUCUGUUACCCUUUCUUUCUUUCUUUUGCUGGUCUGUGCUUGCCAUUGUUUGUAGUCUCUCACAUAUAUUCUUGUUCCAUCUUUUUCUCUCUGUGUCCUUUGGAUAUCUGUAUGUCUUUAUCCAUCUCUUUCUUUUUAUCAUUUUUUUAAGAUCUCCUGCAAAGUUCAUAAUACUUUAAAUUAUUGUGGAAACAUAACUCUCUGGGGAAGGUUACUACAAUCACUUUGUUUAUCCUACUCCAAACAUAUAAUUAAAAGUUAUAAAUUUUAUUCAUCAUACUAGAUGGCAAACAUUGCUCAAGUGUUUUCAAAAUCAUGGGGUAACUGUUAUUAGUCAGAAGCAAUGACAGUCCAGGAAGUGAAGAUGAUGAAGAUGAACAGAACAUGACAUUGAGAGAAAAUCAUUCAAUACCAGAAGACAAUGAAAAAAAAAAAGGAAUCUACAAUGCGUAAAACAUUGUGAAAUAAAGAAUAACAAAAUGCAUACCUCAACACUAUGCUGUAAAUUAUAAGGUCAUGGUCUCUCUGGCAUAGCUGUUUCGUUGCCUUAUUCUUGAAGAGCAUAGUGCAUAUGAUGAUUCGUCUAUGGAAUAUAUUUUCAGACUUUCUUGUGGAGUAGUUCAGAAAUGAAUUUGGAUAUUAAAUAUUCCUUAUCAAAAAAUAACAUGCACUCCAAGAUCGUGCCACUGCACUCCAGCCUGGGCGACAGAGCGAGACUCUGUCUCAAACAAACAAACAAAAAAAUGUGCACUGUAGGUUGAGCCUAAAUUACUCAAUUAAUGAUAUUUGAUCUACUAAUGCCCCAAAGGAUUGCAUUAAAUUUCCAAAUGAAUUGUGAAUUUAUGUAUUUUUCCUGGUUUCCUGAAACUACAGACACUGUCUUGUAUUUUAAGGUUGUAUUUUUGUUAUACCUAAUUUUGUGAUUUUGUUUUCUUGAUUUUGUUUUAUGAA
rnacentral:lncRNA from 1 species